UACGUAGGGUGCAAGCGUUUGUCCGGAAUUAUUGGGCGUAAAGAGCUCGUAGGCGGUCCGUCACGUCGGCUGUGAAAACCUGGGGCUCAACCCCGGGCCUGCAGCCGAUACGGGCGGACUAGAAUUCGGUAGGGGAGACUGGAAUUCCUGGUGUAGCGGUGAAAUGCGCAGAUAUCAGGAGGAACACCGGUGGCGAAGGCGGGUCUCUGGGCCGAUAUUGACGCUGAGGAGCGAAAGCGUGGGGAGCGAACAGG
rnacentral:rRNA from 1 species